CUUUGUUUCAAAUGCUAAAAAGUUGCCUAACUGGUUAAGUAUUCAACUGAACUUCAAAGCCUUUAUAUGUUUGCUCUAGCUUACUUCAUGUUCUUUUGUUGUAAACUGGUGUGAACAAGCUUGCUGAUUUGGUUGGAGUCACUCUUGGACCAAAAGGCAGGAAUGUCGUUCUAGAGAGCAAAUAUUAUUUCUGAAUGAGUGCCAAUAGUCCACUUCAGGAGCUAGUAGUAUAGCACAAAAAGCAGGAGUUCCUGCAUUAGGCUUGGAUUAUGCUGGUGGGGAAGUGGUUUCCACCAUGGUGAAAGCCUUCAGGGAACGUUAAGAUUUCUUGGUUAAAAGCUUUGGGGAAUUGGAAGGUGUUAAGAUAUCUGAGCCUCAGGAGCUUUCUAUCUAUUCAUUGAUUUCAGUACUACGGAGUAGAAGUUGAAGGUUCUGGUAGAAUUGAAAAUUCAGAAUCACUCUGUCGAUACCUCUUGGACAAGGGUCAGGUAUGCUUCAUUGAAUACUGUUCCAGGGCACUUCUUUUUAAAUUAAUUAAAAAUGGCUAGGCCUGGUUUUGUCAAUAUUAUAGGGAGUGGCUAGGGGUGAGCAAAAUUCGAUUCGAUUCGAAAAAAUUGAAAAAAAAUUCGACUUUUGAAUUAUUCGAAUCGAGUUAAUCGAAUCAAUUCGAAUUUUUUUUUGAAUUUCGAGUUUGAAUCGAGUUGAAUUUUAAAAUUUGAAUAACUCGAAUAAUUUGAAUAAUUCGAAUAGAAACUAUAUUUUUUAUUUUUCAAAUACACCACAUAUAUUUUUUAUUUUUAAAAAACACUACAUUUAAAAAUUAAAAGUUAAAACAAAAUCACUUCCGAAAUCCCUAACUAAGCACGUGCCCUCCCUCCUCCCUUUUUUCCCCAAUUCAAAAAUCUUCACCUCCGGUCCACCCUCCUCCACCGAUCCACCUUCGGUCCUCCACGGCUGACGACUCCACCCAAUUCCAAAAUCAGAGUACCUUGAUUUGAGCUCUGCCUCUGUGAAUCUUUCUAAAGCAAUUGGUUGGGUACAGGAAAUGAUAUUCAACCUACCCGUCGAUUAGUUUCCUUCUGCUUAAUGGACUCAGCUUUAGCUGCUUGAAGUUUGUUGCAAAGAUGAGUGAUUCAAAGCGAGAUGGUUCAACUCAAAGUUCACAAAAUUCUUCCCCAAGUAGAGAUGACGAAACAACAACCCAGGAAAAUGUUCGAAAAAAGUUUAUUCCAAGUCAGCUUGUUAGAACCAUUUCACCAAAUUUGUGACUGAAGAGGGGGAGAAGAGAGCAAGGUGCAAUGCAUGUGAUGUUAUUUACACAAGGGAAUCAACUUCGGGUUCUACAAUGAAUUUGAAUAACCAUUUGAAAGCAUGCCUAAAAAGACCUCGAGGUAAUACUUCUAAUCCGAAGCAAUCAGAAUUAACAUUUGUGAGGUUAGCCAAGAAACAACGGAUUUAUCAACUUGGGUGUUUGAUAAAGAUGUUGUUAGAAAAGCAUUGGUUCGUAUGAUAAUUAUGGAUGAUCUACCUUUUAAAAUUUUAGAGGGAGAGGGUUUCAAAUACUUUCUUUCUAUAGCAUGCCCACGAUUUAGUCUUCCAUCUCGUUGGACAAUUAGAAGGGAUUGUCUUCAUUUAUUUAACUCCAUGAAGAGUGUGAUGAAGAAUUGUUUUGAAAAAGAUAUAAGUAGAGUUUGUUUGACGACAGAGACUUGGACUUUAUUACAGAGGAUAUCUUAUAUGGUUUUAACAGCACAUUGGGUGGAUGAUGAGUGGAGGUUGCAAAAAAGGAUUAUAAAUUUUUGCCCAAUAUCCACUCAUAGAGGUGAAAGCAUAGGUCAAGCCAUUGAAAAAUGUCUUCGAGAUUGGGGGAUUGAGAGGGUCUUCACUAUUACAGUUGAUAAUGCAUCCGCCAAUAGUGUUGCCAUUGAAUAUUUGAGAAAGAAAUUGAAUCAUCGAAAUGUUUCUAUUGCAAAUGGAAGAUUUAUUCAUAUGAGAUGUGUUGCACACAUUCUUAAUCUCAUUGUGCAAUACGGUAUUAAGGAUGCUUCUAUGUCUGUGGAUCGAGUUAGAGGUGUUGUGAGGUAUAUAAGAGCAUCACCAUCGAGGUUGACAAAAUUCAACCAAAGGGUAAAAGAACAAAUGAUAGAUAGUAAGGCUCAAUUGUGUUUAGAUGUGCCUACUAGAUGGAACUCAACAUAUAUGAUGUUAAAGGUGGCCAAAAAAUAUGAGCGUGCAUUUGAUUCAUAUGUACCUGAUGACCAUAAUUUUUUUCUUGACCUUACUGCUGGAGAUGGAGUUCCUACAUUUGAUGAUUGGGAAAUUGUUUGAAAAAUUAUAAAAGUAUUAGAGCCUUUUUAUCAUCUUACAUUGAAGGUGUUCGGAUCUUUGCAUGUUACCUCUCAUUCACUUUUUGAAGUAUUGACGGAUGCGCAUUGUCUUUUUGAUGGGUGGCAAGAUUGUGGAGAUCUAGACAUAAUUUCUAUGACUUCCAAAAUGAGAGAGAAAUAUAAUAAGUAUUGGGGUGAAGGAAACAAGAUCAACAUGCUAGUUUACUUGGCGGUCAUCUUUGAUCCGCGAUGUAAAAUGAGUUUUUUGGACUUUGCGUUCAACUUGCUUUUUCCUAAUGUUGCUAAUGACAUUAUGAAAAUGAUUGAUAAAUAUUUGCAUUGCUUGUUCAAUGAGUAUUCUUCUAAUGCCGGGAGAAUUGAAUUGUUUGAAGGUAGAUCUAGUUAUUCGAUAAAUCUUUGUAGUUCAAUGGAAAUAGAUCAGUCAGAAAUGAAAAUGGGCUUGGCCAAACAAAAAACGUUAAGAAGAAGAAACAAGUUGGAUUAGAAAGCAAAUCUGAGUUGGAUAGAUAUUUGGGUGAGGAUGAAGAAGUAAACAAUUCAAGUUCAUUUGAUUUACUAUUAUGGUGGAAAAUGAACAGUCCUAGAUUCCCUAUUCUUGCACAAAUGGCUCGAGAUAUUCUUGCUAUUCCUAUCUCAAUAGUUGCCUCGGAAAGUGCAUUUAGCACGGGUGGAUGUGUUCUCAAUAGUUUUAGAAGUUCUCUAACUCCUCUCAUGGUCAAAGCUUUGGUUUGCACAAAAGAUUGGCUUCGGAAAUCUAAUGAUGCCAUCAAUCUUGAAGAUUAUUUUGAUGAACUUCAAACAAUGGAAGAUGAUAAUAUAUAAAUUUUAAUUUAUGAAAUAAGCUUUUGUAUUCUUUAUAUUAGUAAUAGUAAGCAUUCCCAUAAUUUAACUAACACUUUUGUUUUUAAAUUUGCUAGACUUAUCCAAAAUACCGAAGAUCAAGAAGGUAACAUACUUAGUAUUAGUUUAUAAAGUUAAAUGUUUAUUUAAUUUAUUUUUGCAAAAUUUUUUUAUUAUUUAACUAAAUCAUUCAAUACUUUUACUAGAUGUUUCAAGAUUAUCAACGGUGUUCGAAGCACAAGAAAAAACUUAAACAUUUCUAUAAUGGUUUUUGAACUGAUAUGUUAUUGUUAUUAGUUUGGUUUGGUUUGUUAUUGUUGUUGGUUAAUUGGACUUUUGUUGGUUUGGUUUGUUAUUGUUGUUGGUUAAUUGGAUUUUUGUUGUGUUCUUUUGGUGUAGGUUUCUAUUGUAUUUUGGACUUUUGCUUAUGUUUUGUUUUUUAUUAUAAUGUUGUUUAUUUCGACUCAUGCUAUUUACUUGGACUUUUACUUAUGUUGUUUAUUUGGAAUCAUGUUGUUUAUUUGGGUUGAUGUUGUGUUACUUUUAUUUAUUCACUUAUUUACUUCAAUUUUUUGUUGUAUGAUUAUGUUUAAAACUUUAAAGAAAAUUAUUUUUUGAAAAAUUACAUAAAAAUAAACAACAAUAAAUUUAUUUUAUUUUUAAACUUAACUCGAACAAAUAAUUCGAUUCGAUUCGAUUCGAUUUCUAUCUCACUCAAUUCGAUUCGAUAAAACUUCAAAUAAAGUUAGGAUGAUAAAAUGAGAUUCGAAAACUCGAUUAACGCAAAAAAUUUUGAUUCGAUUCGAUUCGAUUCGAUCGAAUGCUCACCCCUAGGAGUGGCUGAAUAUUGUUUUUAAUAUUGAAGAUGAUCAAACAACAAAGAGUGGUUGUAAUGAUUGACAGGUUGCACUAGUCCCUGGAGAUGCAUUCGGGGACUAUAGCUGCAUCCAGAUAUCAUAUGCAGCAUCCCUCACCACCUUACAAGCUUCUUUUGAGAGAAUUAAGAAAGCACUCAUCUCCCUCAGGCCUGUUGUUCAUGUUUAACACACAUGAAUUAUAUCAUUCAGCAUGUUGUACUUUAUUUAGUGAUUUGAAUUUUAUUUUAUUUUGCUUACAGAGAUUUUAACAUGCUCUUAAUGCAUUGUUUUUAAUCCGAAAAUUAUUGUACUAGGAUUGUGGGGAGAAAAUUCCUAGUUGAAAGAUUGUUCGGAAAGCCCUAUUGAUCAAUGUUAGGUUGGAGCUCAAACUGAAACAAAGCUUAAAGAAAAGAAAUUGAGAGUAGAAGAUGCUCUUAACGCAACUAAGGCAAUAUAUAAAUCUUGAAGCUUGUCUUGAUGAUUGUUUUGUAAUUAUUCUCCUUCAAUACCAUAUAAUACUGCAUAUUUUGGGCUAUUUAUUAGGCAAAAGUUGAGGAAGGUUUUGUUGAAAUAUUUGAUGCUCAAACUUACUUUUACAUUUUAGAAUACAAUUUACGGACUUUUAAAUGCCAAGGAGAUAGGAGGGAGCAAGUCGGGUAGUCGAUUGACAACUUGGAGGAGUUUUGGUAAGUUUUCAAAGGAGGUAUGCCUAAACUAUCAUGCUUAUUUAAUGGUUAGUUUUGCAUGUAUUACACGGCCUUUAGGAGCAAUUUAAACCAAGUUUUGGUAGUUACAGAAUAGUGAAAUGACUGCUGUUUGUACUACCAAUUGAGGAGGAAAAAUUAUGGUUUAAUUGCCUUAUGCUGCUGUUUAAAUUGAAGAGAAAACUUUUUCGGUUUAAUUCCAUGCCACUGUUGUGGUUGCUGUUCGAAUGAAAGGGAAAUUUACUAAUUUAAUGCCAUAUUUGAACUGAUGUAGGAAACCGACUUGGGAAGUUGUAGUUCUAGUAAGCUCCUUAAAUUUCUUUUAGGCUUGCUAAGUGACUAAAUUGACAUGCAUGGUUCCGCAAAAAUUUUGUUCAUAAACUUAUUUGUUAUAUGUGUUUAAGUGAGGUAAGUUCUUGAGGUUUUUGUCUUCAAACUUCAUGCUUUAAUUAUUGCUAAAUUAACAGGCAACUUUCGGCUGUGGAGUACAAUGAAUUAAACCUUCACUUAUUCGGUUGAAUGUGUUUCCUAGUUUUCUUUGGAUGUCCGAAAAUGAUAUGACGACAUUGAUCCUGUCCUAAAUGACAUUAAUAAGCUAUUCAAUUUGUGUUAUUCAUGCUGCUUAAAUGUCCUAAAUUGAGUGUUUUUUUUACCUACUUGUAUGUAAAGGUGGUUAAGGUUUGGUUUUCUCUGCCAUGUAGCUGUUCAAAAUUUUGGACAAUAUCUCGGUGAUACUGCAUGUUAAAUUUAUGAUUUUUGGGCCAUGAAGGAUGCCGUUCAACUUUGAAUAAAAUUAAUAAGUAAAAGCCCGAUUAAAUCUCAUGAUUUUACCUUGUUUAUGUCGUUUAAGCAGCCUGGUAAGGACAAGUUUUCCAGCAUUUAUACAAAAGUCUAGUAUGUCUUAUGUUGUUCAAAUUCGAAUGGAUUGAAUAGAGUUCGGUUUCCUUUCUAUAGAUAGGUGCUCAAAAGAACAUUUCUUUGUUAGAAAUAUCUAAGUUGUGGUUGCCACACUCAAUAUAUUUGCUUCAGCCUUUGAACCUGCUACUUAAAAGAUUUCAUUUCUCGAUUUUUGCAUGACAUACUUUUGUAUGGACCCUGUACGAUGCAUGGUUUGCACUCUUUAACCUCAGGGAUUUUGAAAUUUUGGAGAGUAAGUCAUUUGGGAAUUUGAAGAUAUAGAGGAAAUUGUAGCUCCAAACCAGAUUAGGUUCAUUGAUUAUGAGGUUGAAUCCUUCAUUGUCGGUAUAUAAAUAUUAUGAGUUGGGCAUAACAAUGAUUGUAACUUGUGAGCAGGGUUAUUGUACCGUAUCGAUAUUGAUAAAAUUAUUGAAGAUAUUACCUUUGUACUGUUUUGAUUUUUGUUGCCCGAGAUGCAAUCUUUCUCCCUGUUUAGAGCCCAUGUUUGUAAGGACAGCCAAAAGUUCAACUUGAAUUAAAAACAUAAUAUUUAAAUUCUAAAUUUAAAUUCAUUAAUUUUUAUAUUUAGUUUUAAAUUUAAAAUUUUAAUAGAAAAUUUAAUUUAAUUAAUAUUUUUUUAUUUAUCCUUAAAAGUAUAUAGUUUAAAGUUCAAAUUUCAAAAAUAAAAUAAAAUAAAAUAUUAAUUAUAUAAAUAAAUAUUAUUUAAUUAAAAUAAAGGUCAUGUUAUUUAAUGGCGUUUGUGAGAAAAACACCACUAAAGAUUAUGUUCUAUAGCGGUGUUUGUGGGAAAAGCGUCGCUAAAGGUCUGUUCUAUAGAAGCGUUUGUAGGAAAAGCGCCGCUAGUUGCUAAAGGUCAUGUUUUAUAGCGGCGUUUAUGGGAAAACCGCGGCUAAAGGUCAUGUUCUAUAGUGGCGUUUUUCCACAUAAAUGCUAUAAAAUUUAGCGGCGUUAGCUAUAGAGGCAUUUUUUGCAGCUAGGCCCAAAAAGAUGCCGCUAAAAACCUAUUUUGCUGUAGUGUUUGAUUGAUUCGGGAUCCACUCAUUCAUAUGUGUAAAUGAAUUUGUGUCUAGUAAGAAUUUACCUGUUGAGUCCACUGAAUUCGUGGUUAAAGUAUCGAACCCUCUAGGUCGGUAUGUGCUAGUUGAUAAAGUCUGCAAGAAUUGUCCUUUAAUGACUCGGGGUUACAAUUUUCCAAUUUAUUUGAUGCUGUUACCGUUUGAUGAAUUUGAUGUGAUUCUAGGCAUGGAUUGGCUUACUCUACAUGACACUGUUAUAAACUGUAGACAAAAGCUUAUUGUAUCGAAAUGUCAGAACGGUGAGACACUUUGUAUUGAAUCAGAUAAUUCGAGUGGGUUGCCAAUGGUUGUAUCAGCUAUGUCGGCGCAGAAAUAUGUGAGGAAAGGUUGCAAUGCUUACCUUGCAUAUGUACUGGACAUUAAAGUAUCUAAAUUGAAGCUUGAAUAAGUACCAAUGGCUUGUGAGUAUCCUGAUUUAUUUCCAAAGGAGUUACCUCGGUUACCGCCGAUCAGAGAAGUUGAGUUUGCUAUUGAGCUGGUACUUGGGACAUCACCGAUAUCGAUAGCACCUUACAGAGUGGCUCCUACCGAGUUAAAAGAGUUGAAAGCACAGCUGCAAGAAUUGACAAAUAGGGGUUUUACUUGACCCAGAUUUUUACUUUGGGGUGCAAGGGUUCUGUUCAUUAAGAAAAAUGACAAAUUGAUGAGUUUGUGUAUAGAUUACUGUUAGCUCAAAAAAGUUACAAUCAAGAACAAAUAUCCACUGCCUUGUAUUGAUGAUUUGUUUGAUUAGUUGAAAGGUGUCACAGUAUUCUUGAAGAUUGAUUUUCGUUCUGGUUACUAUCAACUACGGGUGAAAGAUUCAGAUGUACCGAACACUGCAUUUAGAACCAGGUACAGACACUAUGAAUUUCUUGUGAUGUUGUUUGGUUUAACUAAUGCACCUUUAGUAUUUAUGGAUUUGAUGAACAACAUCUUCAGACCAUAUUUAGACAGAUUUGUUGUGGUUUUUAUUGACAACAUUCUGAUCUAUUCUCGAGAUGAGUCAGAACAUGCUGAACACUUGAGGAUUAUGUUGCAAACUCAACAAGAUAAACAAUUGUUUGCUAAAUUUAGAAAAUGUGAGUUUUGGCUUCGAGAAGUUGGUUUUUUGGGACAUAUAGUAUUGGCAGAAGGCAUUAGAGUUGAUCUGAGUAAAAUUUCGGCAGUUAUUGACUAGAAACCAUCAAAAAAUGUAUCUGAGGUCAGAAUUUUUUUGGGAUUAGCUAGUUAUUACCAAAGGUUUGUUAAAGGGUUUUCGAUGAUAGCUACACUGAUGACAGAACUUUUAUAGAAAGAUGUGAAAUUUGAAUGGUCCGAGAAAUGUCAAUAAAGUUUCAAUCAGUUGAAAGCACUGUUAACUGAAGCACCAAUUCUGGUUUAGCCUAAAUCGGGUAAAGAAUUUUUAAUUUUUAGUGACGCAACUUUAAAUGGUUUAGGUUGUGUUUUGAUGUAGGAAGGCAAAGUAAUAUUUUUUGCUUCCAGACAGUUAAAGCCACAUGAAAAGAACUAUCCAACACAUGACCUAGAGUUGGCAGCUAUCGUGUUUGCAUUGAAAAUUUGGCGACACCAUUUGUUCGGCGAAAAAUGUUAUAUAUUUACCGAUCAUAAAAUUUUGAAGUAUUUGAUGCCGCAGAAUGAUUUGAACCUGAGACAGCGUAGGUGGCUCAAACUGUUAAAAGAUUAUGAGUUAAUCAUUGAUUAUCAUUCGGGAAAAACAAAUGUAGUUGCUAACGCUUUGAGUACACAAUUGACAUUAUCAUUGAUUAUCUAUAUUUUCCCUGCGAGUGAUGAAUACACAAUUGACAUUAUCUGAUGAUGGCUCGAUCUUAGCCGAGUUAAAAGCUAAACCAUUGUUUUUACAACAGAUCUAUGAAGCUCAGAAAUGUGAUGACAAUUUGUUAGCUAAACAGGUCAAUGUGAGUCAACUUUUGAUUCAGAAUUUCAGAUAGGACUUGAUGAUUGUUUAUUAUUCAGAGGUAGAGUUUGUGUACCGAAGAAUCCAGAGCUCAUUCAGAGAAUCUUACACGAAGCUCAUAGUGAUAGCUUGUUUGUUCAUCCAUGAAGUAAUAAAAUGUACAAUGAUUUGAGACAGAUGUACUAGUGGCCGGGAAUUAAACGUGAGAUUUCUAAUUUUGUAUCAAGAUGUAUGAUAUGUCAGGAAAUUAAAGCUGAACAUCAGGUACCUUCAGGACUGUUACAACCAGUGAUGGUACGGAGUGGAAAUGGGACAGAGUCACUAUGGAUUUAGUAUCGGGUUUACCCCUAUCAUCGAGAAACAAAGAUGUCAUCUGGUUUAUCAUUGAUCGUUUGAUAAAGUCUGCACAUUUUAUUCUGGUAUGUACAGAUUUCUCUCUUCACAGAUUAGCUAAGUUAUAUGUUUUUGAGAUUGUCAGAUUACACGGAGUGCCAGUCUCCAUUAUUUCGGAUAGAGAUCUACGGUUUACAUAACGAUUUUGAAGAAAGUUACAGGAAACUCUUGGUACGCGGUUGGAUUUUAGCACUGGAUUUCAUACCCAGACCGAUGGUCAAUUUGAUCGAGUAGUUUAGAUUCUCGAGGAUAUGCUUCGUUGUUGUGUUUUAGAGUUUGAAGGCAACUGGGAGAAAUUUUACCAUUGGUUGAAUCGUAUACAACAAUAGUUUUCAAUCGAGUAUAAAGAUGGCACCAUUUGAGGCUCUGUAUGGUCGUAAAUGUCAAACUUCAUUAUACUGGACAGAGCUCAGUGAGAAAAAGAUACACAAGGUUGAUUUGAUUUGUGAGACUGAAGAAAAUGUAAACUGAUCCGAAAUAGUUUGAAAGCAGCUUCAGAUUGUCAAAAAUCAUAUACGGAUCUUAAACGUAAAGACAUAUAAUUUCAAGUCAGUGAUAGAGUGUUUCUGAAAGUAUCCUCUAGAAGAAAGUUCUUCGGUUUGGUCGCAAAGGAAAGCUGUGCCUCCUAUUUAUCAAGACGUAUGAGAUUACUGAAAGAAUCAAACCUGUUGCGUAUCGAUUAGCUCUACCGUCAGAACUAGAAAAAAAUUCAUAAUGUCUUUCACGUGUUUAUGUUACAACGGUACCGAUCUGACCCUUGACAUGAUGGAUGUCGAGAUUCAAUCUGAUAUGACAUACAGUACGAAACCAAUCAGAAUUUUGGCUCGAGAGAUGAACCAAUUAAGAAACAAAAGCAUAGCUUUAGUAAAAGUUAUAUGGCAGCGACACGAAAUAGGAGAAGCCACCUGGGAACCUGAGGAAGCUAUGAGAAAGCAAUAUCCAAACCUGUUUUCUGUUAAGAUUUUCAGGGACGUAAAUCCCUUCAGGGGGAGAGUUGUAACAGCCCAUUUUCAGUGAAAUCAGAACAGUGGUUUCGGGACUACGAAUUUGAAGUCAAAAAUUUUAUUUUAUUAUUAUUUUAUUGCAUACAGCAUGAUAGAAAUACUGUAUAAAAAUUUUGUUUAGAAAUUUUACCGUUUACAUGCUUAAUUUGAUAAAAAAGGACGAAAUCACGUAAAGUGCAAAAGUUGAGUUCUAAUAGCUAAAGGUAUUAAAUAGCUAUAGAACUAGUAAGUGGAGGUUCUUAUGUGGUAAUUAGACUAUUAGAGUUGAUGAUCUUAAUGGUUCGGCAUUAUUGAAAUUUGAAUGAAUUAUUAAGGUUAAUUUUGGAAAUUAGUAAUUAAAGUGAUAAUUAAUUAUAUAAAACAAACUAUUAUCAUUCAUUAUCAACAUCUUCCACUGAAUUUAAAGAGAAAACCUAGCCAUAGAAGCUUGAAGUUUUGGCAAGCUUAUUUUGCUCAAUUAGGUAUGCAUUUCUGUCCCUUUUUGAUGAUCUCUAUGUUUCCGGGAUCGUUGCAGCUUAUUCUAGCUAGCCUGGGGACUAAUUUAAAAAAUUGUUAAAUUAUUAGAGUUUGACCAUUGUUUAAUAUACUU